AACACAGCAAUGCCAAAUAAAGUAAACAUAUUUGACUUAAAAUUAAUCAAAUUUCAGUUUCAGUUCAGGUUGCCAGUGCACCAACAGGGCAUAAAUCAGGCAUAUGUAUAUCAUCCCGUCCACACGCAAGCUACUGUUUGCGUCAACGUCAAAGUAUAUUGGAUAUAAGUAAAUGCAAUUUGAUAGCUGUAAAAGCGCAGCAGAGUGUCGUAAGACGUAAUUCACGCCACCAAAGCGGCAACCGCAAGCGACGCCUACAGAUGUAGCUGCAACAGAAGCAGCAGCAUCAGCAGCUGCCGGACCGG
rnacentral:sRNA from 1 species